ACGGCUAUUGGAAUAUCCAGGCGCUUUCUUCUGCAUAUAUGCCAAUUGCUGCUGUUUAUGUUCGUUCUCUCACAGAUUUACUUAUUCAGGGCAUCCAGUUCCAUGUGCAGUUGCAAUUGAAGCGCUCAAAAUCUAUAAGGAGACAAAGAUUCUUGAGCAUGUAAAUAGCAUUUCGCCAAGGUUCCAAGAUGGUCUAAAAGCUUUCUCUAGCACUCGAACUGUUGGGGAGAUUCGGGAAGACUGGUUUGGUGCUCGGUACAGAAUUCACAAACAAAUCACCCAACGAUCCAUUCCCUCCUGAAUGGGGCAAGUUCUCUCUUUUCUUUUUUUUUUCAAAUAUGGUUCACAUUAAAUAGAUAUUUUCAACUUGUCAAGGAUGAAUUUUGUGCUUAAGCUGCAUUUUUUUGAACGGGCAACCAUUCUUCAAUGAUAUAAAUUUUCUGAUCUUUGUAAUCACCUUAUAGUACUUUUUAACAAUGAGGGAUACAGAUAUAGGUGCAUAUUUUGGAGCUCAAUGUGUGCAGCGUGGGAUGUUCAUACGUGUAACCGGUGAUAAUAGAUCCUUGGCUCCGCCAUAUAUCAUCUCAGAUGAAGAAGUUGAUAAGGUGAACUUAUGAAUCUUCCUCAAUAUACUUUUAAAAACCAGUAUAAGAAUGUUCUCUAUUUUUAGCUUAAAAAACUAAACUUUGAGAACUAGAUGCAAUCUACAAUGCGUUGAAACUGUCUGAAAGCACAAAAAGCUUUAGCAAAACCAUUUGAUUCUACAUGAUCAAGUUGAGAUCAGUUUUCCUUAAACUUCGCAAGGAUAUGUAAAACCCCCUUCUUUUUAUUUUAUAUAUUGAAGUUCCAACUCUAACUAAAGCCCAAAAUUUGUUAUCAUAAUUGUCAGAUAAUAAGCAUAGACAGCCAAGCGCUAAAGGAAUGCGAACAGAUGGUCAACUAUCUCAAGUCUCAGAAAAAAUAAAUUCAUCACCAUGAAAGACUUGUCAAAAAAAAAAAAAAAAAAAAAGACCAUUGGUGUAAAAAAUAAAGUAUUUUCUAUUUGCUGCUGUAUGAUAUAGUAAUUAGUGUUUAAUUAUAUUUCCUUAGCUUAGAUAAUGUUAAAUCAUAUUCAUAUGCAGAUAGCUUUGAUAGUGAAUCCAAACAAAUCAUAAAUCUCUGAAUAAAAAAAUCAUCUAAUUUAUAGUCAUAGAAACAAGAAGAGAAAAGGGUAGUACAAAAGCACGAUAGAGAAGAAAAAUAUUGUAAUAUCAUGUAAAGGAAGAAAGUGAAAAAGGGUACAGAGUGAAUCAACUUUUGGCAUCCUUUUCGGCUUUUCUUCUGGCACGCUUUUCCCUGGAGCUUGGAAAUCGCCUGAAUCCUUCAUUCUCAGUGUCUGAAU